rnacentral:rRNA from 1 species
GGCUCUGGCCACACCGCGCUGAAUGCACCUAUCGUGUGUGGUCUGGGAAGCCAAGCAGGGUCAGGCCUGUCAGUGCUUGGGUAGAAAAAGUCUCCCAAGUCUGGCAUCCAGGGCCU